rnacentral:rRNA from 1 species
GCUCCUUGAUUCAGCGGCGGACGGGUGAGAAAAGCCUAGGAAUCUGCCUGGUAGUGGGGGACAACGUUUCGAAAGGAACGCUAAUACCGCAUACGUCCUACGGGAGAAAGCAGGGGACCUUCGGGCCUUGCGCUAUCAGAUGAGCCUAGGUCGGAUUAGCUAGUUGGUGGGGUAAUGGCUCACCAAGGCGACGAUCCGUAACUGGUCUGAGAGGAUGAUCAGUCACACUGGAACUGAGACACGGUCCAGACUCCUACGGGAGGCAGCAGUGGGGAAUAUUGGACAAUGGGCGAAAGCCUGAUCCAGCCAUGCCGCGUGUGUGAAGAAGGUCUUCGGAUUGUAAAGCACUUUAAGUUGGGAGGAAGGGCAGUAAGCUAAUACCUUGCUGUUUUGACGUUACCGACAGAAUAAGCACCGGCUAACUCUGUGCCAGCAGCCGCGGUAAUACAGAGGGUGCAAGCGUUAAUCGGAAUUACUGGGCGUAAAGCGCGCGUAGGUGGUUUGUUAAGUUGGAUGUGAAAGCCCCGGGCUCAACCUGGGAACUGCAUCCAAAACCUGGCAAGCUAGAGUACGGUAGAGGGUGGUGGAAUUUCCUGUGUAGCU